rnacentral:RNase_P_RNA from 1 species
UCAGGAGGUUGGGUGGUCGCUGCGCCGCGUGUUCGGCUUGCCGGGCACGGGGCGUAGAGGAAAGUCCGGGCUCCACAGGGCGCGAUGCCGGAUAACGUCCGGGCGGGGUGACCCGACGGAAAGUGCCACAGAAAAGACACAGCUGCGCCCCGGCGCGGCAACGGUGAAAUGGUGCGGUAAGAGCGCACCGGCGGCAUGGAGACAUACCGGCCAGGUAAACCCCAUCGGGAGCAAGGCCUAAAAGGGAGGGAAUGAUGCUGCCCGCGGACCCUCCGGGUAGGCCGCACGAGGGGUCGGGCAACCGGCCUCCCAGAGAGAUGACCACACAAAUACAGAACCCGGCUUAUAGACCUCCUGGAGUU